CAUGCUGUGAGCUCGAUGAGUAGGGCGGGACACGUGGUAUCCUGUCUGAAUAUGGGGGGACCAUCCUCCAAGGCUAAAUACUCCUGACUGACCGAUAGUGAACCAGUACCGUGAGGGAAAGGCGAAAAGAACCCCGGCGAGGGGAGUGAAAAAGAACCUGAAACCGUGUACGUACAAGCAGUGGGAGCACGCUUAGGCGUGUGACUGCGUACCUUUUGUAUAAUGGGUCAGCGACUUAUAUUCUGUAGCAAGGUUAACCGAAUAGGGGAGCCGAAGGGAAACCGAGUCUUAACUGGGCGUUAAGUUGCAGGGUAUAGACCCGAAACCCGGUGAUCUAGCCAUGGGCAGGUUGAAGGUUGGGUAACACUAACUGGAGGACCGAACCGACUAAUGUUGAAAAAUUAGCGGAUGACUUGUGGCUGGGGGUGAAAGGCCAAUCAAACCGGGAGAUAGCUGGUUCUCCCCGAAAGCUAUUUAGGUAGCGCCUCGUGAAUUCAUCUCCGGGGGUAGAGCACUGUUUCGGCAAGGGGGUCAUCCCGACUUACCAACCCGAUGCAAACUGCGAAUACCGGAGAAUGUUAUCACGGGAGACACACGGCGGGUGCUAACGUCCGUCGUGAAGAGGGAAACAACCCAGACCGCCAGCUAAGGUCCCAAAGUCAUGGUUAAGUGGGAAACGAUGUGGGAAGGCCCAGACAGCCAGGAUGUUGGCUUAGAAGCAGCCAUCAUUUAAAGAAAGCGUAAUAGCUCACUGGUCGAGUCGGCCUGCGCGGAAGAUGUAACGGGGCUAAACCAUGCACCGAAGCUGCGGCAGCGACGCUUAUGCGUUGUUGGGUAGGGGAGCGUUCUGUAAGCCUGUGAAGGUGUGCUGUGAGGCAUGCUGGAGGUAUCAGAAGUGCGAAUGCUGACAUAAGUAACGAUAAAGCGGGUGAAAAGCCCGCUCGCCGGAAGACCAAGGGUUCCUGUCCAACGUUAAUCGGGGCAGGGUGAGUCGACCCCUAAGGCGAGGCCGAAAGGCGUAGUCGAUGGGAAACAGGUUAAUAUUCCUGUACUUGGUGUUACUGCGAAGGGGGGACGGAGAAGGCUAUGUUGGCCGGGCGACGGUUGUCCCGGUUUAAGCGUGUAGGCUGGUUUUCCAGGCAAAUCCGGAAAAUCAA
rnacentral:rRNA from 1 species